CUCUGAAAUAACAUAAUUGCUCAUGUCUUUCAGGUUAAGUGAGAGAUUGUUAUGAAAACCCAAAGACCCCAUGUGUUAAUUCUAAUAUUCUUAAAAAUGUUGAGCUUGGUAGCAGAAGUUCGAAGGAGGUGUCAUCUUGCUGACAUACUCAUAUCUGCUCACACCCUCCUGUUGCUUUUAUUUGCCUGUAGAGGUGUCCCAAAACCAGCAUCUGUUCCUCAGCUUCCCGGUGGUUGAGCAGCUCCUUAACUUGAACGGUAUUUCUCAAGCUGAUCUGAGAGCUGCAGAGGGCUUCAUAGCUGAUUGUAAGAGGUUCUUGAAAUGUGACUAAAAUCUGAGGCUCACUCUUUGACAGUAGAUUUAGAUUUGCUGCUUGAGGCUUCCCACCUUCCAGAAAUAACAGGACUUUAAAGAAGAUAGAAACCCAUUGGUACAAGGGAGCAUUCAAGGGUUCUUGAAUACUGUUCACAUGACUAUGAAUUCCUUCUAGAUAAGGAAAGAAAAACAUUGAUGUGGUGUUGGUUGCGAUGGCUAUAAAGCGUGUGUUUCUUGGCUUCUGAUUUCUUCAGAAAAGGUGCCGAUAGGUAUUAGCCGUAAGUCACACAGCUGUCAUUUUGUAGUAGAACUUUUUCUAAAAGUAAACAUGAAUGCACCUAAAAGAGGGUAGACCUUGCACUGUGUUGUAAUGAUAAAGGCCAUCUGUUACUCUUCAAUGAAAAUAAAAUUUCAGACUCCAAGGCUGCUUUCUUUUUGAA